UACGGAGGAGGCAAGCGUUAUCCGGAAUUAUUGGGCGUAAAGCGUCCGCAGGUGGCGAUUCAAGUCUGCGGUUAAAGACUGGGGCUUAACCCUGGAAAGGCCGUGGAAACUGAAACGCUAGAGUGCAGUAGGGGUAGAGGGAAUUCCCGGUGUAGCGGUGAAAUGCGUAGAGCUCGGGAAGAACAUCGGUGGCGAAAGCGCUCUGCUGGACUGCAACUGACACUCAGGGACGAAAGCUAGGGGAGCGAAUGGG
rnacentral:rRNA from 1 species